rnacentral:rRNA from 1 species
AGAGUGAACGCUGGCGGUAGGCCUAACACAUGCAAGUCGAACGGCAGCACAGGAGAGCUUGCUCUCUGGGUGGCGAGUGGCGGACGGGUGAGGAAUACAUCGGAAUCUACCUUUUCGUGGGGGAUAACGUAGGGAAACUUACGCUAAUACCGCAUAAGACCUUCGGGUGAAAGCCGGGGACCUUCGGGCCUGGCGCGGAUAGAUGAGCCGAUGUCGGAUUACGCGUUCGUUGGUCGGGGUAAA